rnacentral:rRNA from 1 species
UACAGAGGAUGCAAGCGUUAUCCGGAAUCACUGGGCAUAAAGCGUCUGUAGGUGGUUUGGUAAGUCUGCUGUUAAAGACUGGGGCUCAACCCCAGAAAAGCAGUGGAAACUGCCAGACUUGAGUGUGGUAGAGGUAGGAGGGAAUUCCGUAGUGUAGCGGUGAAAUGCGUAGAUAUUAGGAAGAACACCAAUGGCGAAGGCACUCUGCUGGACCAUAACUGACACUGAGAGACGACAGCUAGGGGAGCAAAUGGG